AUUGAACGCUGGCGGCAGGCCUAACACAUGCAAGUCGAGCGAGCGGCGGACGGGUGAGUAAUGUAUGGGAAACUGCCUGAUGGAGGGGGAUAAAUACUGGAAACGGUAGCUAAUACCGCAUACCAUCAGAUGUGCCCAGAUGGGAUUAGCUGGUAGGUGGGGGAACGGCUCACCUAGGCGACGAUCCAUAGCUGGGCUGAGAGGAUGCCCAGCCACACUGGACCUACGACACGGUCCAGCCUCCUACGGGAGGCAGCAUUGGGGAAUAUUGCACAAUGGGCGCAAGCCUGAUGCAGCCAUGCCGCGUGUGUGAAGAAGGCCUUCGUGUUGUAAAGCACUUUCAGCGGGGAGGCGUUACCCGCAGAAGAAGCACCGGCUAACUCCGUGCCAGCAGCCGCGGUAAUAC
rnacentral:rRNA from 1 species